CAGCGCCGCUCAAGCUUGUAUUAGCUUGGUGUUGGGGCUUCGGGAGCGCUACCGCUCCCGGCCCUCAAAUGCAGUGGCGGCCCCUAACGGGAACCUCAGCGCAGUAACAUUGCUCGCUUUAGGACCUGGGAGGGUGCUGGCCAUUAAACUUUUUAGUGGGCGACCACUAAAAAUUUCACCC
rnacentral:misc_RNA from 1 species